rnacentral:rRNA from 1 species
GGCCACUGCUAUCGGAGUUCGAUUAAGCCAUGCGAGUCGAGAGGUAACUCGGCAUACUGCUCAGUAACACGUGGACAACCUACCCUGAAGAGGGGGAUAACCCCGGGAAACUGGGAAUAAUACCCCAUAGACUAUGGAUGCUGGAAUGCUUUGUAGUGGAAAGGUCCGCCGCUUCAGGAUGGGUCUGCGGCCGAUUAGGUUGUUGUUGGGGUAACGGCCCAACAAGCCUGUAAUCGGUACGGGUUGUGGGAGCAAGAGCCCGGAGAUGGAUUCUGAGACACGAAUCCAGGCCCUACGGGGCGCAGCAGGCGCGAAAACUUUACAAUGCGAGCAAUCGUGAUAAGGGAACUCCGAGUGCCUGUAAAUCAGGCUGUCCGCCAGUGUAAAUAACUGGUGAAGAAAGGGCCGGGCAAGACCGGUGCCAGCCGCCGCGGUAAUACCGGCGGCUCGAGUGGUGGCCACUAUUACUGGGCUUAAAGCGUUCGUAGCUGGUCUGUUAAGUCUCUGGGGAAAUCUUCCGGCUUAACC